GGGUUGUUAGCUCAGCAGGUAGAGCGCCAGUGAUACAUAGACACGGUCUCGUUCCGGGGGAAAUCUCCAGGAUACGAGACCUGUCUACACUGGAGGUCGUGAGUUCGAGUCGCACACAACCCG